rnacentral:rRNA from 1 species
AUUGAACGCUGGCGGCAGGCCUAACACAUGCAAGUCGAGCGGAUGAAGGGAGCUUGCUCCUGGAUUCAGCGGCGGACGGGUGAGUAAUGCCUAGGAAUCUGCCUGGUAGUGGGGGAUAACGUCCGGAAACGGGCGCUAAUACCGCAUACGUCCUGAGGGAGAAAGUGGGGGAUCUUCGGACCUCACGCUAUCAGAUGAGCCUAGGUCGGAUUAGCUAGUUGGUGGGGUAAAGGCCUACCAAGCCGACGAUCCGUAACUGGUCUGAGAGGAUGAUCAGUCACACUGGAACUGAGACACGGUCCAGACUCCUACGGGAGGCAGCAGUGGGGAAUAUUGGAAAAUGGGCGAAAGCCUGAUCCAGCCAUGCCGCGUGUGUGAAGAAGGUCUUCGGAUUGUAAAGCACUUUAAGUUGGGAGGAAGGGCAGUAAGUUAAUACCUUGCUGUUUUGACGUUACCAACAGAAUAAGCACCGGCUAACUUCGUG